CGACGAUGGUUUUAUAAUAAAGAGUUGUUCGAAAUAACAUUUUUUUUUGAUAAAUUUAGGUAUUUAAAUUAAGCUUGAACUAGAUUACACACAGGGUCUUGAUAUGCCACAUGCAACGUGUUUUUUUUUAUUUUGGAGUUUCUGUACAAAUUGUUGGUGAAUUUACCACAAUUUUGUUCUCCCAUUUUAGUAAUUGUCUGCCACAUGGAUUUUAGGUAGCAAAUCUACUCCCCGGUUUCUAAAUGUAAGAAAGUCUUAGUUUUGUUCUAAGUCGAAUCUCUUAAACUUUUAUCAAGUUCAUAGAAAAAUCUACCAAAUCUAUGAUUUUAAAUUAGUUUUAGGAAGUGUCUAUUUCUCGGUUGUCUAAGAAAUAGUUAUGUCAUGGUGGUGUCACGGC
rnacentral:lncRNA from 1 species